UACGAAGGGUGCAAGCGUUAAUCGGAAUUACUGGGCGUAAAGCGCGCGUAGGUGGUUUGAUAAGUUGGAUGUGAAAGCCCCGGGCUCAACCUGGGAAUUGCAUCCAAAACUGUCUGACUAGAGUACGGUAGAGGGUAGUGGAAUUUCCUGUGUAGCGGUGAAAUGCGUAGAUAUAGGAAGGAACACCAGUGGCGAAGGCGACUACCUGGACUGUUACUGACACUGAGGUGCGAAAGCGUGGGGAGCAAACAGG
rnacentral:rRNA from 1 species